rnacentral:rRNA from 1 species
AUUGAACGCUGGCGGCAGGCCUAACACAUGCAAGUCGAACGAGUGGCGGACGGGUGAGUAAUGUCUGGGAAACUGCCCGAUGGAGGGGGAUAACUACUGGAAACGGUAGCUAAUACCGCAUACCAUCGGAUGUGCCCAGAUGGGAUUAGCUAGUAGGUGGGGUAAUGGCUCACCUAGGCGACGAUCCCUAGCUGGUCUGAGAGGAUGACCAGCCAAACGGGAACUGGAACACGGUCCAACCCCCACGGGGAGCAAGCAGUGGGAAAUAUGGACAAAGGGGGGCAACCCUGAUGCGGCCAUGCCGCGUGUAUGAAGAAGGCCUUCGGUUUGUAAAGUACUUUCGGCGAGGGGGGGUUACUCGCGGAAGAAGCACCGCCUAACUCCGUGCCAGCAGCGCGGUAAUAC